CAGCCGUAAACUAUGCGCGUUAGGUGUAUCGGUGACCACGAGUUACCGAGGUGCCGAAGGGAAACCGUGAAACGUGCCGCCUGGGAAGUAUGGUCGCAAGGCUGAAACUUAAAGGAAUUGGCGGGGGAGCACCACAACAGGUGGAGCCUGCGGUUUAAUUGGACUCAACGCCGGGAAGCUCACCGGAUAGGACAGCAGAAUGAUUGCCGGGCUGAAGACCCUGCAUGACUAGCUGAGAGGAGGUGCAUGGCGUCAGUGACU
rnacentral:rRNA from 1 species